UUCGAUUCUGGCUCAGAUUGAACGCUGGCGGCAGGCCUAAUACAUGCAAGUCGAACGGUAACAUAGGAAAAGCUUGCUUUUCCUGAUGACGAGUGGCGGACGGGUGAGUAAAGUUGGGAAGCUACCUGAUAGAGGGGGACAACAGUUGGAAACGACUGCUAAUACCGCAUACAGCCUGAGGGUGAAAGCAGCAAUGCGCUAUCAGAUGCGCCCAAAUGGGAUUAGCUAGUAGGUGAGGUAAAGGCUCACCUAGGCGACGAUCUCUAGCUGGUCUGAGAGGAUGAUCAGCCACAUUGGGACUGAGACACGGCCCAGACUCCUACGGGAGGCAGCAGUAGGGAAUAUUGCACAAUGGAGGAAACUCUGAUGCAGCCAUGCCGCGUGUGUGAAGAAGGCCUUCGGGUUGUAAAGCACUUUCGGAGGGGAGGAGAAUGGCGUUACCCUCAGAAGAAGCACCGGCUAACUCCGUGCCAGCCGCCGC
rnacentral:rRNA from 1 species